GAUGAUCGCUGGCGGCGUGCCUAAUACAUGCAAGUCGAGCGAACAGACGAGGAGCUUGCUCCUCUGACAUUAGCGGCGGACGGGUGAGUAACACGUGGAUAACCUACCUAUAAGACUGGGAUAACUUCGGGAAACCGGAGCUAAUACCGGAUAAUAUAUUGAACCGCAUGGUUCAAUAGUGAAAGACGGUUUUGCUGUCACUUAUAGAUGGAUCCGCGCCGCAUUAGCUAGUUGGUAAGGUAACGGCUUACCAAGGCAACGAUGCGUAGCCGACCUGAGAGGGUGAUCGGCCACACUGGAACUGAGACACGGUCCAGACUCCUACGGGAGGCAGCAGUAGGGAAUCUUCCGCAAUGGGCGAAAGCUUGACGGAGCAACGCCGCGUGAGUGAUGAAGGUCUUCGGAUCGUAAAACUCUGUUAUUAGGGAAGAACAAAUGUGUAAGUAACUAUGCACGUCUUGACGGUACCUAAUCAGAAAGCCACGGCUAACUACGUG
rnacentral:rRNA from 1 species